AUUGAACGCUGGCGGCAGGCCUAACACAUGCAAGUCGAACGAGUGGCGGACGGGUGAGUAAUGUCUGGGAAACUGCCCGAGGGAGGGGGAUAACUACUGGAAACGGUAGCUAAUACCGCAUACACUCGGAUGUGCCCAUAUGGGAUUAGCUAGUAGGUGGGGUAAUGGCUAACCUAGGCGACGAUCCCUAGCUGGUCUGAGAGGAUGACAAGACACACUGGAACUGAGACACGGUCCAGACGCCUACGAGAGGCAGCAGUGGGGAAUAUUGCACAAGGGGCGCAAGCCGUAUGCAGACAUGCCGCGUGUAUGAAGAAGGCCUUCGGGUUGUAAAGUACUUUCAGCGAGGAGGCGUUACUCGCAGAAGAAGCACCGGCUAACUCCGUGCCAGCAGCCGCGGUAAUUC
rnacentral:rRNA from 1 species